UGGGGAAUAUUGCACAAUGGGCGAAAGCCUGAUGCAGCAACGCCGCGUGAGGGAUGACGGCCUUCGGGUUGUAAACCUCUUUUAGUAGGGAAGAAGCGAAAGUGACGGUACCUGCAGAAAAAGCACCGGCUAACUACGUGCCAGCAGCCGCGGUAAUACGUAGGGUGCAAGCGUUGUCCGGAAUUAUUGGGCGUAAAGAGCUCGUAGGCGGUUUGUCGCGUCUGCUGUGAAAUCCCGAGGCUCAACCUCGGGUCUGCAGUGGGUACGGGCAGACUAGAGUGUGGUAGGGGAGAUUGGAAUUCCUGGUGUAGCGGUGGAAUGCGCAGAUAUCAGGAGGAACACCGAUGGCGAAGGCAGAUCUCUGGGCCAUUACUGAUGCUGAGGAGCGAAAGCAUGGGGAGCGAACA
rnacentral:rRNA from 1 species